CAGUCGCCACGGGAAUACGGAGGGAGCUAGCGUUGUUCGGAAUUACUGGGCGUAAAGCGCACGUAGGCGGCUACUCAAGUCAGAGGUGAAAGCCCGGGGCUCAACCCCGGAACUGCCUUUGAAACUAGGUAGCUAGAAUCUUGGAGAGGUCAGUGGAAUUCCGAGUGUAGAGGUGAAAUUCGUAGAUAUUCGGAAGAACACCAGUGGCGAAGGCGACUGACUGGACAAGCAUUGACGCUGAGGUGCGAAAGCGUGGGGAGCAAACAGGAUUAGAUACCCCCGUAGUCCCUGUCUCUUAUAC
rnacentral:rRNA from 1 species